AGCAGCCGCGGUAAUUCCAGCUCCAAUAGCGUAUAUUAAAGUUGUUGCAGUUAAAAAGCUCGUAGUUAAAUUUCGGGGUUAGUAAGUUGGUCAUGCCUUCGGUAUGUACUGGCUUUACUGAUUCCUCCUUCUUGACGAACCGUGAUGUCAUUAAUUUGGUGUUGCGGGAAAUCAGGACUGUUACUUUGAAAAAAUUAGAGUGUUUAAAGCAGGCUAACGCUUGAAUACAUUAGCAUGGAAUAAUGAAAUAGGACGUUAAUCCUAUUUUGUUGGUUUCUAGGAUCGACGUAAUGAUUAAUAGGGAUAGUUGGGGGCAUUAGUAUUCAAUUGUCAGAGGUGAAAUUCUUGGAUUUAUUGAAGACUAACUACUGCGAAAGCAUUUGCCAAGGAUGUUUUCAUUAAUCAAGAACGAAAGUUAGGGGAUCGAAGACGAUCAGAUACCGUCGUAGUCUUAACCAUAAACUAUGCCGACUAGGGAUCGGAUGAUGUUAAUUCUUUAAUGACUCAUUCGGCGCCUUACG
rnacentral:rRNA from 1 species